UUUUAUCCUUUGAUUUUCGUAUUUGACACAUUGACUAAUCACAUGUUCCGCUGAUUCUUCUUCCGAUCCACACUCACACAUAAUUGAUGGAUGCUUUUUCAAUAAAUGCAUUGUUUUAUUUAACCCAGUAUGCCCCAAUCUCAAACUCGAAAUAAUAUGGUCUUUUCAACUGUCCACCAAUAAAACACCAAAGUAGAUGAUGAUGAAGAGUACUCAGGCAGCAAAUUUGAUCAGAAGUGCUCUUGCGUCCUCUAGUGUCUGGUGAAGCGCGUCACACGCUCAGGCAAAAACACAUGAACUUCAUCAAUUUUUCCGAUCUGCGUUUGUGCUGGCUGAAAUGACAAACUGCUUUAUCGAAAAUGACUCUGUAGCUUCAGUCAGUCAGUCUGUCUGAAUUAUCCAGCUCUUCAACUGUGUCUGACAGAGCAUGUGUUCACUGGGGCGAGAGACUUUCUGUUCUAUGUGUCUUAGUGAGGAGGCAGGAGACAAGGUGCAUAUGGUGGCCAUCUGUGAUGGUGUAAGAGCUUCCAAACCAUUGCCUGUUGCCACCCUACGCUACUGUACGCUAAUGAUCAGUUUUCCUGGAUUGGAGCUUAUUCCUCCUGUCACCUUUAAACUGUGCUUUGGUAAAGGACCUGUGUACAUCUCUGCUCAGCAUGUAAGUU